rnacentral:rRNA from 1 species
UACGGAGGAUGCAAGCGUUAUCCGGAUUUAUUGGGUUUAAAGGGUGCGCAGGCGGCGCGUUAAGUCAGCGGUGAAAUCUCAUGGCUCAACCAUGGAACUGCCGUUGAUACUGGCGUGCUCGAGUACGGACGGCGCCGGCGGAAUGUGUCAUGUAGCGGUGAAAUGCUUAGAUAUGCCACAGAACACCGAUCGCGAAGGCAGCUGGCGAGGCCGGAACUGACGCUCAGGCACGAAAGCGUGGGGAUCAAAC